CGCCGGGUUGGUCGAGCGGGCGUAGCAGUCGCCGAUGCCGCCGGUGGCGAGGAUAGUCGCCCCGGCGAACACCGGUUCGACCUCGCCGUCGGCGA
rnacentral:tRNA from 1 species